GAUCCAAACCUAAACUAAGAAGCUGACAGGACAAGACAAAACUCAAAGUAGCCAGAAAACCUAAGACUGGGGAGUAAAAUGAUCGUGGAUGCCCGUCGACGUGGUAGAGGACACCAAUACCUAGUCGAUUGGGAAGGUCGCGGUCAUGGGUCUCUGGCUCAGCUGUGGCCAACCAGGACCUGCUCAGUGAGUUUUGGGCUUCAUGCCCAUCUAUGUCAUCGCCUGGGUCGCUAGGAGGCGACCGUUGGGGGGAGGGGGGUAGUGUCAGGGUUCUCUGUUUGGUCGGUGCUCUAACUCUGCUCCACAGGUGGGUCUAGUUGGCUGGAGGGCGUGGCCCACACCUGCGGCUCGUUUGGAGUAGUGUUCACUGGCUUCUUAAGGAAGGCUCAGACAGAUGGAUGAUGUCAGAGCCUUACCCAGUCGUGUUUGUGUUUGGACUACUCACCCGCCUUGGCGUCUCGCUCAACGAACCAGCUUCUUAAGAAUUACUGAAGCUCAGAUGUUGCUCUGGCAUUCCCCAUCUUACUCACUUGGUGAUACCAAGUCGGGCCUGAGGUUCCCUUCCAUGGAUUCUGCUGGUUCCUCAGCACUCUGGCCGCUCCAUCUGUUACCCCUGCCUGCCGUGGCUUGCUCUGGAUCCCUCGCCGACUUACCAUCAGUCCGCCCUCCAGCCGCUAACCACCAACUAUCCACCGUGAGCAUUCGGUGUUCAGAGUUCCCUCGUCACUACUUCCCCGUUUCUCCAGCACUGACGUUCAGACCUCAACAGAUCCCAUCAGCAGUGUUGAUCUCUGUAGUCUGAACUUAAAUAAAAC